ACCUGACCGAGCGACGCCGCGUGCGGGAUGAAGGCCUUCGGGUUGUAAACCGCUGUCAGUGCGGAGGAAAUAUAGUGGGGUUCUCCCCAUUAUUUGACCUAUGCGCAGAGGAAGGACGGGCUAAGUUCGUGCCAGCAGCCGCGGUAAGACGAACCGUCCAAACGUUAUUCGGAAUCACUGGGCUUAAAGGGUGCGUAGGCUGUCCGUUAAGUUGGGUGUGAAAGACCUCGGCUCAACCGAGGAAUAGCGCCCAAAACUGGCGGACUCGAGCAAGGCAGAGGUGAACGGAACUUAGGGUGGAGCGGUGAAAUGCGUUGAUAUCCUAAGGAACACCAGUAGCGAAAGCGGUUCACUGGGCCUUUUCUGACGCUGAUGCACGAAAGCCAGGGGAGCGAACGGGAUUAGAUACCCCGGUAGUCCUGGCCGUAAACUAUGAGCACUAGAUAGGAGGAACCCCCAUAUUCUUCCUGUCGUAGCGAAAGUGUUAAGUGCUCCGCCUGGGGAGUAUGGUCGCAAGGCUG
rnacentral:rRNA from 1 species